GAUGAACGCUGGCGGCGUGCCUAACACAUGCAAGUCGAGCGAGGGUUUGCUCAGUAUUGAGUAUUCUAAGUCUAGAAUGUUCAAUUCUGAGCAAAACCAAGCGGCGGACGGGUGAGUAACGCGUGGGUAACCUGCCCUAUACACAUGGAUAACAUACUGAAAAGUUUACUAAUACAUGAUAAUAUAUAUUUGCGGCAUCGCAGAUAUAUCAAAGUGUUAGCGGUAUAGGAUGGACCCGCGUCUGAUUAGCUAGUUGGUGAGAUAACUGCCCACCAAGGCGACGAUCAGUAGCCGACCUGAGAGGGUGAUCGGCCACAUUGGAACUGAGACACGGUCCAAACUCCUACGGGAGGCAGCAGUGGGGAAUAUUGCACAAUGGGCGAAAGCCUGAUGCAGCAACGCCGCGUGAACGAUGAAGGUCUUCGGAUCGUAAAGUUCUGUUGCAGGGGAAGAUAAUGACGGUACCCUGUGAGGAAGCCCCGGCUAACUACGUGCCAGCAGCCGCGGUAAUACGUAGGGGGCUAGCGUUAUCCGGAUUUACUGGGCGUAAAGGGUGCGUAGGUGGUCCUUCAAGUCGGUGGUUAAAGGCUACGGCUCAACCGUAGUAAGCCGCCGAAACUGGAGGACUUGCGUGCAGGAGAGGAAAGUGGAAUUCCCAGUGUAGCGGUGAAAUGCGUAGAUAUUGGGAGGAACACCAGUAGCGAAGGCGGCUUUCUGGACUGCAACUGACACUGAGGCACGAAAGCGUGGGUAGCAAACAGG
rnacentral:rRNA from 1 species